rnacentral:RNase_P_RNA from 1 species
UCUGCUUUGAUGCUCAUCACUCCCCGGCCUCUGGAAAGGUCUGAGACUGGGGCUUCCCGUGGCCCUAACCAGGCUCUCUUCAUAUGGGGAGGUGAGUUCCCAGAGAGCAGGGCUCCAUAAGUGGGCAGACUGGGCAGGAGAUACCCUGUGUGGGCAGAUGCCUCCUUCACUGGAGCUUGGAACAGACUCCAUCCCGCACAGAGUGAGCUUUGAAUGCUUUUUAUACCUUGUUCUCCUUGACAUCCAGUUGACACAGA